GUACUCCGGUUCCCUUUCAAAUCGUAAAAAUCUUUCGCCUUUUACUAAAGAUUUCCGUGGAGGGGAGCAUUCAAAGGAGUGUAUAAAGUAAUUUUUAUAUAUGCCUGACGUUCUCGUCGGGCU